GGGCUUGUGGUCUAGCGGUAUGACAUCUUCUUAGCAUCUGUCGCUCUCAUCGAGCAUGGGUUCUGAGAUGGAGAAGGUUCCGCGUUCGACUCGCGGCUAGUCCA